UUUUCCUACGGGGCGCAGCAGUGAGGAAUAUUGGUCAAUGGGCGAGAGCCUGAACCAGCCAAGUCGCGUGAAGGAUGACGGCCCUACGGGUUGUAAACUUCUUUUGUCAGGGAGCAAUUGAGUCCACGUGUGGGCUUAGCGAGAGUACCUGAAGAAAAAGCAUCGGCUAACUCCGUGCCAGCAGCCGCGGUAAUACGGAGGAUGCGAUCGUUAUCCGGCUUUAUUGGGUUUAAAGGGUGCGUAGGCGGAAUAUCAAGUCAGCGGUAAAAAUUC
rnacentral:rRNA from 1 species